GAGCCGUUAGCUCAGUUGGUAGAGCAAUUGCCUUUUAAGCAAUGGGUCCUGGGUUCGAGUCCCAGACGGCUCA
rnacentral:tRNA from 1 species